UUCUCUCUCUACUUUUUCUCUUUCUUUUCUCUUGUCUCUCUUCUCCUCCCUCCACAACCCUAGCCUUGGCUAUCGAACUUGCACCGAAGCUCCAAUCAGAGGCCACCAAAUUGAAGUUCCCUUUCUCCUCUAUCAUUUUCUUGAUUUGGUGCUUUCGAAAAUAUCUCAAAAAUCUCCAUAUCGACACCAAAGCUUUAAACUAUGUCAGCUCUGAUCUCCCUUGUUGACCAUCAAAUCAUCUUUGAUUUGUGAUAUGUGCAUCCUCUCGCAGUCAACCAACUUUUGACCGUUAGGAUUGACGAACAAAGAACCCAAACCCCUUGAAUUGGUCAAACUCGAAACGGGUUGUACUUCCUUUUAUUUUUCCUUUUUGUUUUCUCUCUUUUUCUUUUUGAUUU
rnacentral:lncRNA from 1 species